rnacentral:lncRNA from 1 species
CUUCUCUCUAGUUGGGGUGCCUGUGAAACCGGCAGGCUCUCUCCAAAUGCCUGGAUUCUGCUGGGGGAGUAAGAAGUCAGGAGUAGUUUGUCUGAUGGUAUUGGGAUCUGCUUUGCAAUUGCCAAGCGCUAAGGCACAAGCUGGCAGAUGUGCUGCGGCUCUGCUACGGGCGGCUCUGUCGCCUUCAGUCGCAGGCUGGUUCUUUGGGGGAAAGUUGUAUCCAAUAUUGGUGACUCCCGGGAAUAGUCUGUUUGUGUGCUACUUAAUGGUCUCUAGGCUUCCUUGUCUUGUAGAACCUUGUUAGAAAGGAGCCUUGGUGAUUAAGAGGCUAUGGAGUACACAGCCUUGCUUAGCAGAUGAGCCCUUAUCCAUUUCCCGUUUCCUUAAAAACGGCUAAUUGAUGGAUGCUGCAGAAAACAUGCACUCUGCUAAUAAGAUGCUGAUGACAAAAUAGGUAUCAGGAAAGGCAUUUACUGCUUAUGAGCACCAUCAGCUUUCUUUCGAGUGAGAUUGUGGCUUUGUAGUAAAGUUUUUUUUUAAGUAAUAUGCUAAUAGUUUUAUUCUAAAUCGGCCAGCGCUGAAUAUCUUCAGGAAAAUGGGUUCCAUGAGAAGUGACAUCCUCCUCGAAUCAAAAGAUUCUCAGGAUGAUGGAGUGAGUGAUGGAAUAGGUUGCCAACUGUAGUUACUCCACUCAGCACAGAAUGGCUGCGGGGAAAUAUAAUCAGACAUGCCCAAAGAAGUCUGCUUAGGGUGAAACAAAUACCUUUGAGGUUUAAAUCAGGAAGGAGAGACUGUUUCUACAGGUGUCAUACAAAAAUCAAUACUGAGCCAAGGAUUAUUGGAUCCCAUAGAACCACGGAGACUUGGUAGUGAAAUUCUUCCAAAGAUGGUGUUCCUAGGUUUGGAAAUAUAAAUCCCAUGGGAAGUCAGCUGAAGACCAUUUUAUGCAUCACUCAUCCUGUUAGAGCCCUGUGCUGUUCUGUCUCUCUAUAAGACUGGCUGAAACCACCACGGUUGUUUACAAUUUAUGCUCUAACUUUGGAUCACCUAGUUAAUACUCUAACUCCGAUUAUUACCAAAGACAAUGUUCUAUAAAAGAUAUUGUCUAUUAGAAGGAUGCUUCUGCAUUAUUAAUAAAAUCACAGGGAAAAUGCAACAUUUUGGAUGUCACAUCUGAUAAGUUGGCAGUUAAAGAACAGAAACAGCAAUAAGACUGCGUGGCUACAUUUUCCCAGUGCCACCAACUGGGAUUUAAGCUGACUAACAUUUUGAAAGCCCAGCCCAUUUCAUUCACAGCAGGAUGGCAGUGGGUGACUGAUCGUACCCGCCAGCUGGCUAAUGUCAUAAUUAACAAAGUUGCUACUACAUCUGCAAAGUUUAAUCGAAAAAUUUGCCAGUGAUAUGAUGGCCUUGUCACAGAGAUCACAAGGGACACGGAGUUGACUUUUGCUCAAGGUGGAACGACAGAGCUGUGUAGGCAAGAUGAGAAAUUGCGAACUUGUUCGGCCAAAGGAGGCUAAUAAUGAAGGGGCCGGGAAGGAGGCCAGUGCUACCAGGGUUAUCUCACAACCUCAGAUGCUGGAUAAGUCGACGGAGGCAGAAUCGCUUUGGGAUGACAUUCAGAAAGCCUGGAGUGAUUACUUGCAAGAGAAAAGCCUACCUAUUCUUUCCAAGGUGCAGGAAUAUUCCCCUGACCUGCUCAUCCAGUGGUCCAGUAAUGAAUUACUGGAGACCUGCCUUAGACAAAGAAUGCACUCGGAGCCCCAACACACCUAAAGCCAUGCUUUGAAGGAUCUGCCAAGCUCACUUUUAAUCAUGAGAAAGAAAUUACCCACACGGAGUCAGCAGAAAAUGAGAAAGUAGAGCUCGUGCUGUGAAUAAUUCCAGCAAGUGCCAAGGGGCUAGUUGAGGAAUGGCUUCAUGAGAACAUGCUCUAGGGGAACUAUUAAUAGCCCACCAGUCGGGUAGGCAGCAUUCAAUCCUUCUAUGCCUUCUUUCGCCACCUGUUGAGGUCUUUCUUCUGAAACAAAGAAGAAAUAGACAAAUCAGACUUGCCCUCUUGGAAAUGUGGUCCAGAUUUCUCUACUCCCAAGCUCCAAAAAAGGUAUACAUUGGAUGGGCUAGAUCAACUCCUCCUGAGAGCCAUAAAUCCGCCAAGAGUUGUUUUCCAUGUAAGGGUGUGGUACAAUGGGGAACACCUGAUGUUGGAGGAAAGCAGGAGGACUUUAGAGUGGAGUUGCAUUCUAAUCUCUCUGCCGCUUCAACUAUGUGACCUGGGGCAAAUGAUAUAAACUCUAUGAGCCUCUUUCCUUAUCUUUAAAAUGAAGAGAAGUAAUACCUACCUUGUAGGGCUGUUGUGAGGAUUAAAUGAAGUAAUGCAUACAGUGCCUAACAAAGUAUUUAACAUCAUAUUUUUUAAAAGCUCAUGAAAUAUUAGUUUUUCUUCCUUCCCCUCUUUCUAUUUUCUCUCCUGUUCCCUUUUCUCUCCCUCCUCUGCCCUCUCCUUCCUUCAGAUGUUAGUCUAAAACAGCACCUUGGAUCUAAGCAGCACCUUUGAGAAAGAAAAGACUGCUUCAAGAAUGUCUAGUUGCACCUCCUUUCCGUAUGUGGCCUAAAUGCCUAGGUUGGAUCAAUAGUUUAAUUUUUUUAUUGAACUGUUUAAUAUUGACUAUGGACUUACAUUCACUUUUACUGUUUUCUGUAUAUUUACUUUUGCUUGAAGUGUUUUAAUAUUGACUAUUUACCUCUGCUCAUUUUUAUUGAUUUUCUGUAUUUUUUCAAUGAAAAUUAUAAUAAAAAUUAUUUUUGUUA